CCUACGGGAGGCAGCAGUGAGGAAUCUUGGUCAAUGGGCGCGAGCCUGACCCAGCCAAGUAGCGUGAAGGAUGACUGCCCUACGGGCUGUAAACUUCUUUUAUAAAGGAAUAAAGUGAGGCACGUGUGCCUUUUUGUAUGUACUUUAUGAAUACGGAUCGGCUAACUCCGUUCCAGCCGCCGCGGUAAUACGGAGGAUCCGAGCGUUGUCCGGAUUUAUUGGGUUUAAAGGGAGCGUAGGUGGGUUGUUAAGUCAGUUGUGAAAGUUUGCGGCUCAACCGGAAAAGUGCAAUUGAUACUGGCAGUCUUGAGUACAGUUGAGGUAGGCGGAAUUCGUGGUGUAGCGGUGAAAUGCUUAGAUAUCACGAAGAACUCCGAUUGCGAAGGCAGCUUACUAAACUGCCACUGACAUUGAGGCUCGAAAGUGUGGGUAUCAAACAGGAUUAGAUACCCGAGUAGUC
rnacentral:rRNA from 1 species